rnacentral:lncRNA from 1 species
CACACACACACACACACAAAUAAAUAGACACACACAGAUACACAUACACACACACAGACACACACAUACACACACCCACAAACUCACACACAUACACACAGCCAUACACACACAUACAAUACAAAGACACAAAGACACACACACAUACACACACAGACAUAGACACACAAACACACACACACACACAGACACACACAUACUCACACACACACACACACACAGACACACACAUACUCACACACACACACAUAGACACAGACACACACACACAAAGACACACAC